rnacentral:rRNA from 1 species
UACGAAGGGGGCUAGCGUUGUUCGGAAUUACUGGGCGUAAAGGGCGCGUAGGCUGUGCUGUAAGUCAGGCGUGAAAGGCCCGGGCUCAACCUGGGAAUGGCGCAUGAUACUGCGGCGCUGGAAGGCGGGAGAGGAUGGCGGAAUUCCCAGUGUAGAGGUGAAAUUCGUAGAUAUUAGGAAGAACACCAGUGGCGAAGGCGGCUCACUGGCCCGGUACUGACGCUGAGGCGCGAAAGCGUGGGGAGCAAACAGG